rnacentral:rRNA from 1 species
AAUGAACGCUGGCGGCAGGCCUAACACAUGCAAGUCGAACGGGUCCUUCGGGACUAGUGGCGGACGGGUGAGUAACGCGUGGGAACGUGCCCCUUGGUACGGAAUAGCCCCGGGAAACUGGGAGUAAUACCGUAUGUGGUCGAGAGACGAAAGAUUUAUCGCCAAGGGAUCGGCCCGCGUUGGAUUAGGUAGUUGGUGGGGUAAUGGCCUACCAAGCCGACGAUCCAUAGCUGGUUUGAGAGGAUGAUCAGCCACACUGGGACUGAGACACGGCCCAGACUCCUACGGGAGGCAGCAGUGGGGAAUCUUGGACAAUGGGGGAAACCCUGAUCUAGCCAUGCCGCGUGAUCGAUGAAGGCCUUAGGGUUGUAAAGAUCUUUCAGGUGGGAAGAUAAUGACUGUACCACCAGAAGAAGCCCCGGCUAACUCCGUGCCAGCAGCCGCCGCCGUAA